GUCACGGAGCUGACUCACCCAGAGCGCGCAUGGACAAACCCCAAAAUCCCGCCUUGCCGGGUCUGUACGAAAGGACAGUGGUGAUUAGCCCUGGUAAUCACAGGACGCUACCGGAGCUGAUGGAUACGAGCUCGAACCUGGACGGAUUUGCUCACCGUGUCCCGCGCCCUAAGCUCCGAGGGACGCUGACACCGAGGGUUUUUUUUUUUUUUUUUUCCUAUCAAACACGUUGCCCACCCCGAGAGCAAGUAGGUCUCUAUAGAAUGAGCUUCUGAGAAAUUAGUUCUUAGGUUGCAGAACAAGGAAGGAGGAGACUGGUUCUCUGAAGAACGUUGAUCUGCUGGGCUGUCUCCAAGUUAGUUGAAGUCACUGUCAUAUUUUACAAGCCUUCCAAUCAAACCACAGAAUUAUCAAAAGUAACGAUUUCUUUACAAUCCUAAUGGAAAGCUCUGGGGCCAUCUGGAGUCCAUACCUGUGAAACACACAUUGAAGAUCUCAAAUGCGCCCCUGGCAGGAGUAAGGUGUCCCCAAGUGCUUUUGUGACAGGUCAGAAGUCCAAACUGGGCCUGACUGGGCUAAAAUCAAAGAUGCCAGCAGGUUUGUAUUCCUUUCUGGAACUUUUCCAGAUUUUAAAGGGCAGAUGCAUCCCUUACUCAUGGUCCCUUCCUCUUGCUUCCAAGCCAACAGCAGAGCAUCACUCUGACCUUGCUUCUGUUACCGUAUCUUCAUUCUGCUUCCCUCUUCUACUUUGACAGCACUCUUGUGAUUACUUUAGACACACUGGAUAAGCCCUGAUAAUCUUUCUACCUUAAAGUCAUUUCAUUAGCAACCUUAAUUUCAUUGUCAAACUUAAUUCUCCUUUAGCAGGCAAACUAACACAUUUACCUUCUGACUAUUAGAACAUGACAUCUGGGUUGCCUGGGUGGCUCAGUUAAGUGUCUGCCUUAAGCUCAGGUCAUGAGCCUGGGGUCCUGGGAUCGAGUCCUGCAUUGGGCUCCCUGCUCAGGCUCCAGAGAGCCUGCUUCUCCCUCUGCCUGCCUCUCCCCCUGCUUGUGCUCUCUUGGUUUCUCUCUCUUUCUC